AGCGGAGGAAAAGAAACCAACAGGGAUUGCCUUAGUAACGGCGAGUGAAGCGGCAAAAGCUCAAAUUUGAAAUCUGGCGCCUUCGGUGUCCGAGUUGUAAUUUGAAGAAGGUAACUUUGGAGUUGGCUCUUGUCUAUGUUCCUUGGAACAGGACGUCACAGAGGGUGAGAAUCCCGUGCGAUGAGAUGCCCAAUUCUAUGUAAAGUGCUUUCGAAGAGUCGAGUUGUUUGGGAAUGCAGCUCUAAGUGGGUGGUAAAUUCCAUCUAAAGCUAAAUAUUGGCGAGAGACCGAUAGCGAACAAGUACAGUGAUGGAAAGAUGAAAAGAACUUUGAAAAGAGAGUGAAAAAGUACGUGAAAUUGUUGAAAGGGAAGGGCUUGAGAUCAGACUUGGUAUUUUGCGAUCCUUUCCUUUUUAGUUGGGUUCCUCGCAGCUUACUGGGCCAGCAUCGGUUUGGAUGGUAGGAUAAUGAUUAAGGAAUGUGGCUCUACUUCGGUGGAGUGUUAUAGCCUUGGUUGAUGCUGCCUGUCUAGACCGAGGACUGCGUCUUUGACUAGGAUGUUGGCAUAAUGAUCUUAAGCCACCCGUCUUG
rnacentral:rRNA from 1 species